rnacentral:rRNA from 1 species
AUACGUAGGGGGCGAGCGUUGUCCGGAAUGAUUGGGCGUAAAGGGCGCGUAGGCGGCCCGGUAAGUCUGGAGUGAAAGUCCUGUUUUUAAGAUGGGAAUUGCUUUGGAUACUGUCGGGCUUGAGUGCAGGAGAGGUAAGUGGAAUUCCCAGUGUAGCGGUGAAAUGCGUAGAGAUUGGGAGGAACACCAGUGGCGAAGGCGACUUACUGGACUGCAACUGACGCUGAGGCGCGAAAGUGUGGGGAGCAAACAGGAUUAGAUACCCUGGUAGUCCACACUGUAAACGAUGAAUGCUAGGUGUAAGAGGUAUCGACCCCUUUUGUGCCGGAGUUAACACAAUAAGCAUUCCGCCUGGGGAGUACGGCCGCAAGGUUGAAACUCAAAGGAAUUGACGGGG